UGGGGAAUCUUGCACAAUGGGCGAAAGCCUGAUGCAGCGACGCCGCGUGGGGGAUGAAGCUUCUCGGAGUGUAAACCCCUUUCGACCCGGACGAAUGCCCCGCAAGGGGACUGACGGUACGGGUAUAAGAAGCCCCGGCUAACUACGUGCCAGCAGCCGCGGUAAGACGUAGGGGGCCAGCGUUGCUCGGAAUUACUGGGCGUAAAGGGUCCGUAGGCGGUGUGGCAAGUCGGUAGUGAAAUCUCUGGGCUUAACUCAGAGGCUGCUGCCGAAACUGCUGUGCUCGAGUGCGAGAGAGGCGAGUGGAAUUGCAGGUGUAGCGGUGAAAUGCGUAGAUAUCUGCAGGAACAUCCGAGGCGAAAGCGGCUCGCUGGAUCGCAACUGACGCUGAGGGACGAAAGCUAGGGGAGCAAACAGGAUUAGAUACCCUGGUAGUCCUAGCCCUAAACGAUCAGGACUGGGCGUGGGCCCUGUACGGGGCUCGUGCCGGAGCUAACGCGUUAAGUCCUGCGCCUGGGGAGUACGGUCGCAAGGCUG
rnacentral:rRNA from 1 species